UUUUAAGGAUGUAAAGAACAUUAAACAAUGAAGAGAUAGUUUCUCAGAGUGUCUUCUGGUUUUCUAUGUUGGCUACAGUCAAGAUAACCUAUUACUAAGGUGGGCCUACUCCAAUAUCUAGAGAUGGCAGAUAUUCAGUAAGUUUAUUCACUUAACAAACAUUUUCUCUCUGUGUGUCAGAAAGAAUGUCUUUUACCGUCCUUGA
rnacentral:lncRNA from 1 species